GAUGAACGCUGGCGGCGUGCCUAAUACAUGCAAGUCGAGCGAACGGACGAGAAGCUUGCUUCUCUGAUGUUAGCGGCGGACGGGUGAGUAACACGUGGAUAACCUACCUAUAAGACUGGGAUAACUUCGGGAAACCGGAGCUAAUACCGGAUAAUAUUUUGAACCGCAUGGUUCAAAAGUGAAAGACGGUCUUGCUGUCACUUAUAGAUGGAUCCGCGCUGCAUUAGCUAGUUGGUAAGGUAACGGCUUACCAAGGCAACGAUGCAUAGCCGACCUGAGAGGGUGAUCGGCCACACUGGAACUGAGACACGGUCCAGACUCCUACGGGAGGCAGCAGUAGGGAAUCUUCCGCAAUGGGCGAAAGCCUGACGGAGCAACGCCGCGUGAGUGAUGAAGGUCUUCGGAUCGUAAAACUCUGUUAUUAGGGAAGAACAUAUGUGUAAGUAACUGUGCACAUCUUGACGGUACCUAAUCAGAAAGCCACGGCUAACUACGUGCCAGCAGCCGCGGUAAUACGUAGGUGGCAAGCGUUAUCCGGAAUUAUUGGGCGUAAAGCGCGCGUAGGCGGUUUUUUAAGUCUGAUGUGAAAGCCCACGGCUCAACCGUGGAGGGUCAUUGGAAACUGGAAAACUUGAGUGCAGAGAGAGGAAAGUGGAAUUCCAUGUGUAGCGGUGAAAUGCGCAGAGAUAUGGAGGAACACCAGUGGGGAAGGCGACUUUCUGGUCUGUAACUGACGCUGAUGUGCGAAAGCGUGGGGAUCAAACAGGAUUAGAUACCCUGGUAGUCCACGCCGUAAACGAUGAGUGCUAAGUGUUAGGGGGGUUUCCGCCCCUUAGUGCUGCAGCUAACGCACUAAGCACUCCGCCUGGGGAGUACGACCGCAAGGUUGAAACUCAAAGGAAUUGACGGGGACCCGCACAAGCGGUGGAGCAUGUGGUUUAAUUCGAAGCAACGCGAAGAACCUUACCAAAUCUUGACAUCCUUUGACAACUCUAGAGAUAGAGCCUUCCCCUUCGGGGGACAAAGUGACAGGUGGUGCAUGGUUGUCGUCAGCUCGUGUCGUGAGAUGUUGGGUUAAGUCCCGCAACGAGCGCAACCCUUAAGCUUAGUUGCCAUCAUUAAGUUGGGCACUCUAAGUUGACUGCCGGUGACAAACCGGAGGAAGGUGGGGAUGACGUCAAAUCAUCAUGCCCCUUAUGAUUUGGGCUACACACGUGCUACAAUGGACAAUACAAAGGGCAGCGAAACCGCGAGGUCAAGCAAAUCCCAUAAAGUUGUUCUCAGUUCGGAUUGUAGUCUGCAACUCGACUACAUGAAGCUGGAAUCGCUAGUAAUCGUAGAUCAGCAUGCUACGGUGAAUACGUUCCCGGGUCU
rnacentral:rRNA from 1 species